rnacentral:tRNA from 1 species
AGCCCCGUGGUGGAGGACAUAUCAGAUUGCAAAUCUGAAGACGCAGACUAACAUCUGCCGGGGCUU